CCCACUUGGUUCGGCAACAGAACCAUUGGCAGCUCAACUACAGAAGCAGAGCAAUAACUUUUCUAGCUAGAAGUGGUAAUGGGAAGAGAAGAAUAAUGAACGUAAAUAAUUAAAUAGAGGAAGCGUGAUUUUAAAAAACACAGCAAAGUAUAAUCAGUUUAGCUGAGUGUUUUAUGGUAAGGUUUGGCCGGAGAGAUGAACACAUUAGAGGCAAGAUUUGCAUUCAAAAUGCACUUGAUACAUUGGAGAAGUGGGCAGAUAUAAUAGAACAAGGCUUAAGCAGGAUAAGCGCAGAGUUUUCACUAGAGAAAGCUCUCUGGGUUGCAUAUCUAAAAGACAGAAAAGUGCUGCCAUUUUGUGGAGAAGAUAGAAAACGUUCUUGAGCAUGAAAAGAGGCUAUAGACUAAGCGAGAUCCACAGAGAAGCUCCAGUGUUGUCUCCAGCUACAUCCUAUUCUCCACCCACAACGUGUCUGGGCUCCAGCCUGGAACAUCCCCCGUAAUAACAAGGGCACCAGCACUAACACACAGUGUGAGCAUGACCCAUCUGGAGACAGGCCCUGGGAGCCCC